rnacentral:rRNA from 1 species
GUCAAUCUUGGGCAGGAGGCCGCGGUAAGAACGGGGAGGCAAGCGGUAUUCGGAAUUAUUGGGCGUAAAGGGUGCGUAGGCGGUGAUUUAAGGUAGAUGUGUAAUCCACGGGCUUAACCUGGGAACUGCAUCUCAGACUGGAUCGCUAGAGUUCUGGAGAGGGUGGUAGAAUUCCACGUGUAGCGGUGAAAUGCGUAGAGAUGUGGAGGAAUACCAGUGGCGAAGGCGGCCACCUGGACAGUAACUGACGCUGAGGCGCGAAAGUGUGGGUAGCAAACAGGAUUAGAUACCCUAGUAGUC